GACAAACGCUGGCGGCAUGCCUAACACAUGCAAGUCGAACGGACAGAACAGGGAAGCUUUUCGGAGUGGAACUGGAAAGUUAGUGGCGGAUGGGUGAGUAACGCGUGGACAACCUACCUUGUAAAGGGGAAUAACCUCGAGAAAUCGAAGCUAAUACCCCAUAAUAACCUUGCUUCGCAUGAAGUAAGGAGGAAAGGCGGCCUUAGCGCUGUCGAUACAAGAUGGGUCCGCGUCUGAUUAGCUAGUUGGUGAGGUAAAGGCUCACCAAGGCGACGAUCAGUCGCCGGCCUGAGAGGGUGAACGGCCACAUUGGGACUGAGACACGGCCCAAACUCCUACGGGAGGCAGCAGUGGGGAAUCUUCCGCAAUGGGCGAAAGCCUGACGGAGCAAUGCCGCGUGAGUGAAGAAGGCCUUCGGGUUGUAAAACUCUGUCCUUAUCGAAGAGAGAGUGUUGUAGUAACUGACAAUACUAGGACGGUAGAUGAGGAGGAAGCCCCGGCUAACUAUGU
rnacentral:rRNA from 1 species